CCCCAAAUUCACCUUCUCCUCCAGGAAAUCGAAUCGACGUCUUCUAAAUCCACCAUCUUCCUCAAGGAAUCAAUCUCCAAAUCUGAAGUUAUCAAAUGUUUUAAUGGGAAGAAAAGGAUGAAUGAACCACAAUCGAGUCGACGAUUUAAAUUUGCAAAUCGAGCUGACGAUGUAAAUCUGCAAUGUUUUUUUUUGGGAAGAAAAGGAUGAAUGAAUCAAAAUCCACCAUCUUCCUCAAUGAAUCAAUCUGCAAAUCUGAAGAAGCAUCAAGACAUGAGAAACUAGAAAGGAAAACAGAGAUGAUGAACUAGAAAGGAAAACAGAGAUGAUGAAGAUAGUGAGAGAAAUCAGAUCAUAGAAACUUCAUGGAAAGGCCAAACUUGAAGUCAUAUUUCAGAAAAAAUGGUACAUUCUACUGUUGGUUUUAAAAUGGCAAUGAGAACUUUGAGAGUUCAACUGUAGAAGCCUUGAAAGUGAUACGAAGAUUGUACUUUGGAAAGAGAAUAUUCACCGAGAAGACGUCAUCAAGAAGACUAGAUGAUAUUAUGGAUUAUGACUUGUCUCUAUGUUACUGUUGUUAGCGUAUAUCAAGGAUUAUAACUUAUGUUUUCAUGGUAUCAUGGUUACCGUAUGUCAAUGAUUACGAUUUGUUGGACAAUUUAAUGUUUUUGAUUUUUUUUGUAAUACUAUUUUGGUUUAG